GACGAACGCUGGCGGCGUGCUUAACACAUGCAAGUCGAACGGUCUGCCUGGUCUUCGGAUCGGGUGGUGAGUGGCGAACGGGUGAGUAACACGUGAGUAACCUGCCCCUCUCUUUGGGAUAACGUCGGGAAAUCGGCGCUAAUACCGGGUAUUCUGUCCUCCUCCCUUGUGGGUGUUGGGAAAGUUUUUUUCUGGGGGGUGGGGGCGCGGCGUCCUAGCUGGUUGUUGGGGUGGUGGUGGACUAAGACGGCGGCGGCUGGCGGGCAGGAGAGGGUGUCCGGCGACAGUGGGAAUGAGAAACGGCACAGACUCCUGCGGGAGACAGCAGGGGGGAGUAGUGCAGAAUGGGCGGAAGCCUGAUGCAGGGACGAGGCGUGGGGAAUGAGGGCCGUCGGGUUGUAAAUCGCUUUCAGUGAAGAACAGGGCUCUAUGUGGGUUGAGGGUAUGCGCAAAAGAAGCGCCGGCUAACUACGUG
rnacentral:rRNA from 1 species